UGGGUGAUCUGCCCUGCACUCUGGGAUAAGCCUGGGAAACUGGGUCUAAUACCGGAUAGGACCGCACUUUAGUGUGUGUGGUGGAAAGUUUUUUCGGUGUAGGAUGAGCCCGCGGCCCAUCAGCUUGUUGGUGGGGUAAUGGCCUACCAAGGCGGCGACGGGUAGCCGGACUGAGAGGUUGGUCGGCCACAUUGGGACUGAGAUACGGCCCAG
rnacentral:rRNA from 1 species